GACCUGUUCCUCCACAGACGUGAGGGAAUAUAAUUCAGAGUAGCAGAGUUUAUAAAUGCUGGGACCCCUGCUAGGGCAUAGGAGCUUCCCAGGGGAACGAAAUUUUGAAGACGUGACCAGAGCAGGAAGCUACUGUAUGUUUUCGACCAAGAACGGAUAAAUUUGUGAAGUACUGACAGGACAGUGGGCUGGUGGUAGUUCCCUUAAAGCUGCUAACCCCGAUCUUCAGUUAAUGAGGUUGGUUUGGAGAUUCCUCUGGUGCCAUCUGUGGGCUGGAUUGACGUCUCAAGACUGAAUGUUACCUGAGAAAGAUGCCUUGAAGAGGAAGAAGAGGGAAGAACAAGCAGUCAGGAAUGACUGUUUCUCAGAACGAUGACAUUCAGGGAUGUGGCCAUUGAACUCUCCCAGGAGGAGUGGGAGUGCCUGGACCCUGCUCAGAGGGACGUGAUGUUGGAGACCUGCAGGAACCUGGCCUCCCUGGGAGCAGGUUGCUGUGACCAGCACACUGAAUCCACUCUCCAGGCAACCAGAGGAAGAGAAACGAGUAUUUCCUAUUUCAGUCUUAGAGCAAGAAUCUGCAACAAAUGAGGGGUAUCAGAAAACUAGGUAAGUGAUCAUACAGAAAAAAAGAACUGUUCAUGUUGAAAUUGGUCUACUGCCAUAGGAAAACAGUAAGAAAGGAUAAAUCCAAGAACUAAAAGGAGCUAUUAAAGGGA